UGCAUUUUCAACGUGCGCGGUGCUCUAAUGUAUGCGUGCCAAGGCAAUAAAACCCAGUUUUAUUCUCUUAUUCAAGCGACCUUCUGUCAAAAGACCCAGAGUGCGUCGUGAAAAGGCGAUAAUUGUGUCUCUGGCGGUCCGAGACGUGUCGGCGGGGGACGUUGUCCACGUCCUGCAGGCCCUCCUAAUCACACGGGGGCGUGGAGGAGCUGAUCAUUUCCCACAGCUAGCACUGCAGGCAGGCGCACCUGUCGGCAAUCUACAUCAGGCCACCUAUUUAAGGACGGAGCGCCUGUCUGCCAGUGUUGGAGAGUUUUGGUGGUUUCCCAUGGUCUCCACGCUGCCCUGCUGGACUGUAGAACGUGCAGGACCUGACUCCUGUGUUGGCUCCAUGCUGGAGGUCUUUGUGUGCCCCGGAAGACCGGAUGAGUGCCUCCCUGCGGUCCAGGAGCCAAAUUGAUCUUUGAAUAAAAACUUAGACUUUUUACCACUGCAUUCUACCUGCUUUUGGGUCCUGGAAAAAACCCAAAACCUAACAAACCUAACAAUUUUGCUUGGACCAGCAAAUCAGAGGAUGGAAAUGUGAUUGGUUAAGGAAUCAAUGCCUGAUAGAAACUGGACAGCAAGCAGAAAGUGUUUAUUGUUGCUGACACACCCAGAACCCGUCACAGACAUUAAAUAUUAUUUAAAUUAUUGAACAUUUGUUAAAGAACACUCAUAAUACUAAGACAACUUCUCAAACUGGCUGCUAUCCAACCAGGUUGCUCCUUCAGCAAUCAUGAUGUGCGUGUCAGAUGUUUGCAGCACCUGGUGUGGACCCACCCAGAGGCAAUGUUUCCUUCGCCUGCUGCUGGGAUUCUUUAUCAUGAUCCAGUUGCCUGGCUUAAGAUCAUGUAGUGGUUUGGAUGGAGAGGAUGGGAGGUGUUCCUCAACCUGCUAAGAGAGAAAACCACUUCUUAGUUUUGCAACCUUUUAUCUUCACACAAACUCAUGACCUCACUAAAGGU
rnacentral:lncRNA from 1 species